rnacentral:snoRNA from 1 species
CAAGCAGGAGGUGUAUCCUUACCUGUUACUUCAGUAAUGAAGUACUAUAAAAUGAUGAAUGGAGCGAAAUGAGCUGGUGAUUAACCGCUCCCAGUUUAAUAGGAUUUGCAACACCUAUUAAACUCCGUUCUGAU